rnacentral:tRNA from 1 species
GGGUUUAUGAUGUAACGGUUAGCAUAUGAGGCUCUUACCCUUUCUGUCUAGGUUCAAAUCCUAGUAAGCCCACCA